UUAGUCAUUCAAAUAAGUUAUACCCGAAGGGCUUUCCCUUCGGGGUAUAAUUUAUUUUAUCACAAGAAAAUAAAAAUAAAUUUUACAGCAGUUGAACUGUAAUAAUAUUUGUAACAUUGACGAAAGAGAAACAAAGAUGGAGUAGCAUAGAAUUUUUCUCAAUAAAAUACCACUGCAAAUCUCUAAUCUCUUUAUACGUUAAGAGAGUCAAGAAAAUUUGGGCGAUGAUUGGCUAAUAAACUAUGUUAAUUUGUUAUUAGGUAAUUGUUGGGUUGACUUUUAUUAGCUUUUGUUGUUUGCUAAAGGGCCGAUUGAGGUGGGUUGCUGAUUUGAAGGAGCUGAAGAAGAGGCUGGUAGAGGGCAGUGAGGAUCUCCUCGGACCCUGUGAUGUUGAUGAAGUGAAGAGUUGACUUACGGGAGGAUGGAUGUUUGGAUGUAGCGAUUGCAAGCCUGGAUGAAGAAUGUUUUUAUGAUGGUUUGGAUGGUUUGCAGUGAAGAUCUCCUCGGACCAUCUGCAGGCUCUGUCCAUCGGGCUAUCGGGAUCCUUCCUUGUCAUCUUUAUUCAGGAGAAAGCCAUGAUGAGGCGCAAGGCAUCAUUGCUUGCUGGAGAUAUAAACCACUUGAAGGAGCUCGGGAAGAAGGCUGCAGAAGGUAGUGAAGGUCAUUUCAUGCCAUUGGAUGUUGAUGAAGAGUUGAGCAUAAGAGUGCAGUUUGCAUGGUGCCCCCUAUUUAAUCAAGGCUUCUAUAUGUUGUGAUUGCUAGCCUGGAAUGCUGUCUGAUUUAAGACAAGCUUCUGAAGCUUUCCAUCUGAUCACAAGGGUCUUGGACACAACAGUAGCGUAUGGGGGAACCAGGUCAGAUGGAUUUGAUGCUGGGAUGCUAUUUGUGUGUGGGCUUAGGCAGGUUUGAUGAUUGGCUUGCUGAAAGAACUUCGACGCAAAAGAGUUGUUGAUCACCGAAUUGUGUUGUCUCAUUUGAUGCUUGCAGGUUUUGCAUAUAUAACAGUUGAGGAAUUGUGUGUUUGUAUGGGAGUUCAUAUGGUUCUUUGAUGGGGGUUUUGUAUGGCUGUAUCUUGUGAAGAAAGGGGAUGGAUUCCUUGGAUGCUAUGUAUUGCAUCUGAACCUUGUGAAAACAGGCUUGCGAGUGGAUGUGUUGGCAUGUGGGAUUGCUAACGAAAUGUGGACAGUUUGGGUGUGACUUGGGGGAGUUGCACAUGAUUUUGGGAAGACAUGACAGUAGGUGACACUUGAGUGUUACGGCAUUGUCUUUGGCCAGACGAGAUUGAUGGCAUUGAUCUCAAUAGCUUUGGAUGGGACUCAAUGUUUGGUUUGACCUAUGGGGUACAAACUGGAACCAAGAGAAGACUUGGUCACAGCUUGGCUCAGAUUUGGGUUGACGAAUGGGAAUGUCAGCUUGGCAUCGCAGAAUUGAUGGGCAGUAUUCUCGAUGUGAAGGUGAAGAAUACUUUUCUGAUGAACAGCUGCAAAGAAGGGCACUGUGAUGAUACUGGAGUAAACCAGUUUCUUGCAGGCUCCAUCCAACAUGCAGCAAAUCCAUACUCGACAAAUUUUCUGCCUCACAGAAUUUCUCAUUAAAAUCCACAUUUCGAAUAAGAGGAGAAGGGUAGCUUUAUUUAAACCAUCCACGUCAUCUUCUUCAGGACAUAUGAGCCUAUCAUUUGUUAGUGAUUGUUGAUGCUUUCAUAAGGUUCAGUAUCUCCACUCUCAUAAUAGAGGGUAGUCAUGUUCAUGCAGUUGAUUUAUAGGAUAUUUCAUCUUGUUCUGUAUGAAAAUGAGAGAGAUUCAUUACUAAUUAUCUCCACACAAAUUCUUCUGGGAAUUUGUGUUCUGCUGUCUUUCUCAUAACCUUUUAAUAAUUAAUGGAAGUUGGCUUUAAUA